UCCGGCUUGUCACCGGCAGUUUCCUUAGAGUGCCCGGCAUUAUCCGCUGGUAACUAAGGAUGAGGGUUGCGCUCGUUGCGGGACUUAACCCAACAUCUCACGACACGAGCUGACGACAGCCAUGCAACACCUGUGAUGAUCCAACUAAAUGACCAGCUAAUUUCUUAGCCGUACAAUCACCAUGUCAAGGUCUGGUAAGGUUUUUCGCGUAGCAUCGAAUUAAACCACAUGUUCCACCGCUUGUGCGGGUCCCCGUCAAUUCCGUUGAGUUUUAAUCUUGCGACCGUACUUCCCAGGCGGAGUGCUUAACGCGUUAGCUACGACACCAAAGUCAAGCUCUGAUAUCUAGCACUCAUCGUUUAGGGCGUGGACUAC
rnacentral:misc_RNA from 1 species